GAUGAACGCUGGCGGCGUGCCUAAUACAUGCCAGUCGAGCGAACAGACGAGGAGCUUGCUCCUCUGACGUUAGCGGCGGACGGGUGAGUAACACGUGGAUAACCUACCUAUAAGACUGGGAUAACUUCGGGAAACCGGAGCUAAUACCAGAUAAUAUAUUGAACCGCAUGGUUCAAUAGUGAAAGACGGUUUUGCUGUCACUUAUAGAUGGAUCCGCGCCGCAUUAGCUAGUUGGUAGGGUAACGGCUUACCAAGGCGACGAUGCGUAGCCGACCUGAGAGGGUGAUCGGCCACACUGGAACUGAGACACGGUCCAGACUCCUACGGGAGGCAGCAGUAGGGAAUCUUCCGCAAUGGGCGAAAGCCUGACGGAGCAACGCCGCGUGAGUGAUGAAGGUCUUCGGAUCGUAAAACUCUGUUAUUAGGGAAGAACAAAUGUGUAAGUAACUAUGCACGUCUUGACGGUACCUAAUCAGAAAGCCACGGCUAACUACGUG
rnacentral:rRNA from 1 species